rnacentral:rRNA from 1 species
UAAGGAAUAUUGGUCAAUGGACGCAAGUCUGAACCAGCCAUGCCGCGUGCAGGAUGAAGGCCCUCUGGGUUGUAAACUGCUUUUAUCUGGGACGAAAAACGGACUUUCUAGUUCACUUGACGGUACCAGAGGAAUAAGCACCGGCUAACUCCGUGCCAGCAGCCGCGGUAAUACGGAGGGUGCAAGCGUUAUCCGGAUUUACUGGGUUUAAAGGGUGCGUAGGUGGAUAGGUAAGUCAGUGGUGAAAUCUUCAAGCUUAACUUGGAAACUGCCAUUGAUACUAUUUAUCUUGAAUACUUUGGAGGUAAGCGGAAUAUGUCAUGUAGCGGUGAAAUGCUUAGAUAUGACAUAGAACACCAAUUGCGAAGGCAGCUUACUACACAGUUAUUGACACUGAGGCACGAAAGCGUGGGGAUCAAACA